rnacentral:rRNA from 1 species
GACGAAGCGUGCAAGCGUUAUUCGGAAUCACUGGGCUUAAAGGGCGUGUAGGCGGUCAAUUAAGUCUGCUGUGAAAUCUUGAGGCUCAACCUCAAAAUCGCAGUCGAAACUAUUAGACUAGAGUAUAGUAGGGGUAAAGGGAAUUUCCAGUGGAGCGGUGAAAUGCGUAGAGAUUGGAAAGAACACCGAUGGCGAAGGCACUUUACUGGGCUAUUACUAACACUCAGAGACGAAAGCUAGGGUAGCAAAUGGG